UAACAGCAACAAUCCUUUUUCUAUGCCUACAUAACAGCAACAAUCCUUUCUCCAUCCACGCCUGCAUAACUUUAUCACCCCCUUUCUCCAUUCAUUCUCACUUGAUAUAACAGCCAAAAUUCUUAUUCAUGCCAAAAAAUAUCCAUUUAUACCAAGCCAUCUCUGGCUGUUAUAUCAUGCUCAUGGAGGUGACAUAGUGCAAUACAUUGAUUGCUUACAUAUUCAUUCAAUUGAUUGUGAUGUGUGUAAGAGAAAGAAUGGAUAAAAUGUGUACAAGCCAAGGUGUAAGAGAAAAGCUUAGUGUUUAUGAAGGAAGUGGAUAAAAUGUGUAUAAGCCAAGGUGUAAGAGAAAGCUUGGUGUUAAUGAUAAAAUGUAAAAGACAUCAGUAUUAGUUUGCUCUCAAAUGAAAACCAAUCAACUGCAGAUUACUUUCUAUCAUGACUUUCUGUUCAAGCCAUUUCUAUCACCUGAUAAGGUCUAAAUGAAAAAAACAGCAUCAGCACUUGAUAGCCAUCUUGCAGACUCUGUAGACAUUGAAAUAAAAGUAUACUUAGUCUUACAUGAGAAAUCUCUAUGCUAUCAAACUUGUCUCAUACAUUCUGAAAUCAGAAACAUGUUAGUUUUUCCUUUCAGAACUAGUAAAAAAAAAAAAAAAAAUAUAUAUAUAAA